rnacentral:misc_RNA from 1 species
UUCUUUCAGCGCAUCGUCACCUUCAUGUUCCGCCAGUAACUCAACCAUAAACGCAAAGAAAGGCGGCUGCGAACGACUCAGGUAGUAGGUACGGUUGCCGUUGGGAAUAUGCCCCCAGGCGUCAAUUUCGUAACCAAAGUUCGCCACCAUAUCCGCCACCUUAUCCCAGUGCCCGCUUUCCGCCAGCCCCAGCAUCGUAAAGUAGCUGUCCCAGUAGUAAAUCUCUCUGAAUCGCCCACCCGGUACGACAUAGGAUUCAGGCAACGGCAAGAGCGAGUCCCACUUUUCGACGUUUUUAGUUGAGCGGGUCAGCACCGGCCACAGGCCAUCAAUAUGUUCACGCAAUGACUGUCCGGCAGGCGGGACAUAUUUUUCACCCGCUUUCGGCAGGGUGAAGUUAACAUCAACAAAAUGACGCAAAUCGAAGCCGGACUGGUUCCGCUGCAUACGAUAAUCCGCAAGAAUCAUGAGCGGAUCGCUAUUAGGUAU